rnacentral:rRNA from 1 species
UUUGAUUUUCUUCGGAACUGAAGAUUUGGUGACUGAGUGGCGGACGGGUGAGUAACGCGUGGGUAACCUGCCCUGUACAGGGGGAUAACAAUCAGAAAUGACUGCUAAUACUGCAUAAGACCACAGCACCGCAUGGUGCAGGGGUAAAAACUCCGGUGGUAUGAGAUGGACCCGCGUCUGAUUAGCUGGUUGGUGAGGUAACGGCCCACCAAGGCGACGAUCAGUAGCCGGCCUGAGAGGGUGACCGGCCACAUUGGGACUGAGACACGGCCCAAACUCC